rnacentral:lncRNA from 1 species
CACAGCCACGAGCACAAGGAGGCCAGAGCCAAACAGCCUGUCCUCAAAAACAACACUUGAUCCAGUGUGUCCAGGAAGCCAAAGAUGAAAACCCGGAUUCGACCACACUGUAGGAGCGCUUCCUGAACUUUUUGAUUUAGAACGAGAACCAUUGCGGUGAAAAUAAGACCUCCAUGAGGCAACAGAGUACAACUGGAGGAGAAUUACUCCCAAUGAAGCAUUCAGUGUUGUCUCUCGCUGCUGAUGAAGAAUGACGGCAGAGGGAGUUAUCAUGGAAAUACCACAGAAUGCCAACAGCCCCGUCCCCUCCUCCC